GAGUUCUAAGGGAUGUGCUCCUGGCUGGACUGUGGCAGGCACUGUCUGUCCUCCUGCGGGCCAAAGCCAUGAUGCCACUACUGUGUCGCUGAAUCGACAAUGUGGCGUCCCGUCCGCUGCAGCAGGGACCACUGAUCGACGGCAGAAUUGAGGGUUCACGCCCACGGUAAUCAAACGCUGGUCUUCAGCCUCGAGGCGCAGGGCUUAUGUACCCUAUCCAAGCAUUACCGAAUCGUAUCCCAGCAGGACAAAAGCGCACCCCUUGCAAGAGCCCAAAUCUAACAAGCCGACGUCACAUUUCGACCUGGCCAUUGAAAACUAUCUCAAGGACUUUGGCUAUGGCAACCAAGGAUACGCGGACUAUCAGACUAUAGAUAGAUCUCGUUGUUAAUAGGUUUAAGGAUACACACGUCUGUACAUUUAGAUAGUAGAUAUAAAUAUUUCCAAAUUGUUAAUUUCUUUAUAGUAAGUUAACGUUAUGAUGAAUAAAACUAUUGAAAAAUUA